CAAUAGCGUAUAUUUAAGUUGCUGCAGUUAAAAAGCUCGUAGUUGGAUUUCGGGUGGGAAUGGCCGGUCCGCCGUUUCGGUGUGCACUUGCUACGCCCACCUUGCUGCCGGGGACGUGCUCUUGAGUUCACGCUCGGGACACGGAGUCGGCGAGGUUACUUUGAGUAAAUUAGAGUGUUCAAAGCAGGCCUACGCUCUGAAUACAUUAGCAUGGAAUAACACGAUAGGACUCUGGCCUAUCUUGUUGGUCUGUAGGACCGGAGAAAUGAUUAAGAGGGACAGUCGGGGGCAUUCGUAUUUCAUUGUCAGAGGUGAAAUUCUUGGAUUUAUGAAAGACGAACUACUGCGAAAGCAUUUGCCAAGGAUGUUUUCAUUAA
rnacentral:rRNA from 1 species